GAUGAACGCUGGCGGCGUGCCUAAUACAUGCAAGUCGAGCGAACGGACGAGACGCUUGCUUCUCUGAUGUUAGCGGCGGACGGGUGAGUAACACGUGGAUAACCUACCUAUAAGACUGGGAUAACUUCGGGAAACCGUAGCUAAUACCGGAUAAUAUUUUGAACCGCAUGGUUCAAAAGUGAAAGACGGUCUUGCUGUCACUUAUAGAUGGAUCCGCGCUGCAUUAGCUAGUUGGUAAGGUAACGGCUUACCAAGGCAACGAUGCAUAGCCGACCUGAGAGGGUGAUCGGCCACACUGGAACUGAGACACGGUCCAGACGCCUACGGGAGGCAGCAGUAGGGAAUCUUCCGCAAUGGGCGAAAGCCUGACGGAGCAACGCCGCGUGAGUGAUGAAGGUCUUCGGAUCGUAAAACUCUGUUAUUAGGGAAGAACAUAUGUGUAAGUAACUGUGCACAUCUUGACGGUACCUAAUCAGAAAGCCACGGCUAACUACGUG
rnacentral:rRNA from 1 species